rnacentral:rRNA from 1 species
GAGACCCACGCCCACAGUUGCCAGCGUACUCUCCGGAGUGACGGGUACACUGUGGGGACCGCCGCUGCUAAAGCGGAGGAAGGAAUGUGCAACGGUAGGUCAGUAUGCCCCGAAUAUCCCGGGCUACACGCGAGCUACAAUGGUUGGUACAAUGGGUAUCUACCCCGAAAGGGGACGGAAAUCUCCUAACGCCAAUCUUAGUUCGGAUCGAGGGCUGCAACUCGCCCUCGUGAAGCUGGAAUCCGUAGUAAUCGCACAUCAACAGUGUGCGGUGAAUAC